GUGAUUUUCUCUAAAACCAAACUGACAAUCACUUAAUUGUUUGUCAACAAUCUUGAUUAGUCUAUUAUUCAAUAUGGCAUUAAAAAAUUUUUGGUAGAUUACUUAUAAGAGAAAUUCCUCUAUAAUUAUUAGGGUCUAACUUGUCACCUUUUUUAUGUAAAGGGAUCAUGAAAGAUAAUUUCCAAGAAUCUGGAUAAUUACCUGUCUUUAAAAUCAAAUUAAAAACUUUUACAAUAGAAUUAAUUAUCACAGGUUGUGAGUGUUUGAGUAUUUCAUUCACAAUUCUAUCUGGACCUGCUGAUUUGUUUACUUUAAGGUUUGAAAUGACCAAUUUUACCUCAGCAAAUGUAAUUGGUGCAUCAGUUUCCAUAUUCAAUUCAAUAUUAUCUUCUAGAAUGUUUAGUUCACGUUCCAGUUUAUUUACAAAGGAUUUAUCAUAUGAGGCUGGUGUACCCUGAUCCUGAAAAUGUUUUAUGAUUUUAUUUUCAUUCAUUAAAAUUUCAGGAAUAUCUUCUUCAAUAUUUGGUUUCUUUUUUAUUGCCUUUAGAAUAUUCCAGUAUUCUUUUGGAUUAUUUUUUAAAUUAUCUGAAAGUGAUUUAUAAAGUUUUUGGUGAUAUUCAAAUUUUUUCUGUUUAAUCAUUUUUUUUUUAGUUUUUUACAUAACAUACAUAAUUCAAAAUAUUUAGGUUUUAAACUUUUGUCAUUUAAGUUAUUCUUGAUUUUAUUUCCUAAAAAGUUUAUUUGUCUUUUUGUUUCAUAUACUACAUUAUCUGACCAUACUUGUUUAAUUUUUUUCUUUUUCUUUUUUGUUGGUUUAGAUAUGACUUUACAUGUAUUUUCUGCAAUAGUUUGUAAAAUUUUGGUAAGUUUUUCAGUUGCACCAUCAACGCCUAGUUUAUUGCUAUCAAAAUGUUGCAUCUCUAAAUCUAAAAUUUCCUUUUUAACAUUUUCUGUUGAUAGAACAUCAAUUAAUUUUGAAGAUGACAAUUCUGUCCAUUUGUAUGAUUUUAUCAAAUGCCAUCUCUUUUCAUCUAAACAUUUCUU
rnacentral:lncRNA from 1 species